UACAGAGGUGGCAAGCGUUGUUCGGAAUUACUGGUCGUAAAGGGCGCGUAGGCGGCCUACUAAGUCAGACGUGAAAUCCCCCGGCUUAACCUGGGAACUGCGUCUGAUACUGGAAGGCUUGAGGAUGGGAGAGGGAUGUAGAAUUCCAGGUGUAGCGGUGAAAUGCGUAGAUAUCAGGAGGAACACCGGUGGCGAAGGCGGGUCUCUGGGCCGAUACUGACGCUGAGGAGCGAAAGCGUGGGGAGCGAACAGG
rnacentral:rRNA from 1 species